CCAUCGUUGCUCUUAGAACACAAAAAUUAUAGUUUCAAUUUGUUAUAGCAUCGCAAAAAGAUAAAAAUUCUUAAUGUAGCGGCUCUGAUCCUGGAUUAUGGUGAUUGAUUUUGUUAAUGAUUAACUCAAAUUGGUAAGAACUAAGGUGCCAGGGAUAUCAAUUUCAUACUACACAAUAGUCGCUUGGGUUGGAAACUGAAUAAGAGAGGGAAGCCAAUGAUUGUAGACCCUGGACUUUAUAGCCUCGAUAAAUCAAAGAUUUGGUGGGUCAUUAGGCAUUGGAGUUUGGCUACAUCUUUUCAACUCUACACAGCCACAAAGCGCCAAUGAAUGGAAUCUCACCAAAGGAAAGAUGGGCUCAUUGUCAAGAGUCAAUUGAUGGUGUUGUGGAUGAUUGUUGAAGGUGUGUUUCUAUCAUUUUGUUUUUCGAUGUUUUUUGGACAUUGAUAACUAUCUAUAAUGUUUUUUGGAAGAUGGCGUUUUAGU